rnacentral:lncRNA from 1 species
UUUUAUUUGCAAAAGCAUAUAUAACAUGCUAUGGCAAUACAUAAUAUAUACAUAAUGUGACAAAAGACUGGUAACAGAGAACAAUACAAUAAUAACAUACAUGUUGUAGCUAACCAAUAAUAUCAGAUCUAGCUUUCCAUGCACUCUUCAAAUAGUUACAGAGCUUAAUUGUUAAAGAUCUAGAAUUAGCUUUCAACAAACAAGAUAGUUUAAAAAUAGUAGGCCAUGAACAAUAAUAGCGUGGCAAAAACAAUAUUCUAAUUGCCCUAUAUGCUGGACAUAUCAAUACAAAAUGGAAUUCAUUCUCAACACAUUGCAUGUUACAACAUACACAAAGACGCAUUUCUCUUGGUAAAUCAGAGAAGCGACCAACUUCAACAUUAAGUUUCAAUGUACCACUUCGUAGUUUUGUAAGAAUGUUAAUAUUAUUAAUGUAGCUAAAAUAAUUCUCAAGACAAAAAUCAAACUUUAUACUUCUAUACACACUUAAUUUCUCACAGUCACAAAUAUCUGCUGACCAUUUUUGUAGAUAUUGAUCUUUAAUGCGUGUCUUUAUAACAUCAAACGAUAUAUCAAUAUUAUUCUGAUCAAUCCAAAUAUGGUUCAUUCCAAGACUAAAUAAAAAAUCACGCACAUUAGAUGCCCAAUUAAUUUUACCAUGAUUUGCAUCGUCAUACAAAAUUUUAUAUACAUCAUAUACAAAAGCUGGUUUAUAUAUAACAAUACGUAACCAAUAUUUUAAGAUUAAUUGUUUUCUCAAAACAUACAUAGGUAGAUGACCAAGCUCGCCACAAAGAAAACUAAUAGGAGCACGUUUACCUACUUUUAAGACAAACCUACAAAAACGGUUAUGAAUAAUUUCUAUGUCGUUGGCACGGUGAAAACCCCAUAUUUCGGAAGAAUAGUUCAGUACCGAUCCAACCAUACUGUCAUAAAGAAGACAUUGUUGCUUUGUAGAAAUGUAAAUAUUAUCUAAACAUUUUAAGAGUGAUGAAAGAGCUCUUGAUCCUUGUUGUGAUAGUCGUUUUUGCGUGUGUAAGAAUUUCCCGUUAAAGUGCAG